rnacentral:rRNA from 1 species
AGAGUUUGAUCAUGGCUCAGGAUGAACGCUAGCGGGAGGCUUAACACAUGCAAGUCGAGGGGUAAAUGGCAGCAAUGCUAUGAGACCGGCGGACGGGUGCGUAACGCGUAUGCAACAUACCUUGUGCAGGGGGAUAGCCCGUGGAAACGCGGAUUAAUAUUCCAUAGUCCAGCUAUAUCGCAUGGUAUAGUUGGUAAAGAUUUAUCGGCACAAGUUUGGCAUGCGUCUGAUUAGCUUGUUGGUAGGGUAACGGCCUACCAAGGCUACGAUCAGUAGGGGUUCUGAGAGGAUUAACCCCCACACUGGUACUGAGACACGGACCAGACUCCUACGGGAGGCAGCAGUGAGGAAUAUUGGUCAAUGGGCGGAAGCCUGAACCAGCCAUCCCGCGUGAAGGAAGACAGCCUUACGGGUUGUAAACUUCUUUUCUGUCAGAAGAAUAAGCUUGUCGAGACGAGUGAUGCCGGUAUGACAGGAAUAAGCAUCGGCUAACUCCGUGCCAGCAGCCGCGGUAAUACGGAGGAUGCAAGCGUUAUCCGGAUUUAUUGGGUUUAAAGGGUGCGCAGGUUGUUUGAUAAGUCAGUGGUGAAAGUCUGUCGCUUAACGGUAGGAUUGCCAUUGAUACUGUUGGACUUGAAUAUGGAUGAGGUAGGCGGAAUGUGUAGUGUAGCGGUGAAAUGCAUAGAUAUUACACAGAACACCGAUUGCGAAGGCAGCUUACUAAUCCAUCAUUGACGCUGAGGCACGAAAGCGUGGGGAUCAAACAGGAUUAGAUACCCUGGUAGUCCACGCCGUAAACGAUGAUCACUCGCUGUUUGCGAUAUACAGUAAGCGGCUAAGCGAAAGCGUUAAGUGAUCCACCUGGGGAGUACGAUCGCAAGGUUGAAACUCAAAGGAAUUGACGG